UUCCGGUUGAUCCUGCCGGAGGCUACCGCUAUCGGAGUCCGAUUUAGCCAUGCUAGUCUACCGGCCCUAGGCCGGGGCAGAUAGCUGAGUAACACGUGACUAACCUGCCCUGUGGAUGAGGAUAACCUCGCUAACGUGAGGCUAAUACUCAAUAGCAGAUGGUUGCUGGAAAGCGCCGUCUGUGAAAUGUUCCGACGCCACAGGAUGGAGUCGCGGCUGAUUAGGUAGUUGGUGAGGUAACGGCUCACCAAGCCGAUAAUCAGUAGCAGCCGUGAGAGCGGGAGCUGCCAGUCGGCUUCUGAGACAAGAAGCCGGGCCCUACGGGGCGCAGCAGGCACGAAACCUUCACAAUGCACGAGAGUGCGAUGGGGGGACUCCGAGUGCAAUCUUCCCACAAGGAAGGUUGCUUUUCUGCACUUUAAGGAGGUGCCGGAACAAGGGGUGGGCAACACUGCUGCCAGCCGCCGCGGU
rnacentral:rRNA from 1 species